CUUGCGGAUGGUCCACGCCCGCACCUCGUCAGGGCCGGAAG
rnacentral:SRP_RNA from 15 species